UGUUUACACGUGGCAUGCCCAAACUUAAGCUUACUAUCCUCUAUCGUCUUCUGGGUUUCUGGCCAACUCUUCCUCUACCCACCUCCUAGAAGCUUCUCCGACGGUUCUAUAUCGUAAUCAGAUUACGGAGAGGCUUCGGACUCUGAUCAGGUGCUACUCGAAUCCCAAUCCAGUAGAAGUUUUCUUCGACCUGCAGAGAGGAAUGACGCAGAAGAUGAGCCUCAUGCUAAAUGGGGAUUUUUCUUCGGCGGCUGUUAAGGUAUAACACUAACAUGGUUCCUCUUUGAAAGGUAAUAAAUCCUCAAUAAUAGAUCAUACGAAGUGUUUUUUUCUAAUUAUUAUUAG